rnacentral:rRNA from 1 species
AUACGGAGGGUGCAAGCGUUAAUCGGAAUUACUGGGCGUAAAGCGCGCGUAGGCGGUUUGAUAAGUCGGAUGUGAAAUCCCCGGGCUCAACCUGGGAAUUGCAUUCGAUACUGUCAGGCUAGAGUGUGGUAGAGGGAAGUGGAAUUUCCGGUGUAGCGGUGAAAUGCGUAGAUAUCGGAAGGAACACCAGUGGCGAAGGCGGCUUCCUGGACCAACACUGACGCUGAGGUGCGAAAGCGUGGGGAGCAAACGGGAUUAGAAACCCUAGUAGCCC